GUUUUCAGGAAAAUAUUUGAGAUUGCUUCUAAUACAAGUGAGCCAAAUGGAUUAUAGAACUAGCUUGAUCCCCCCAUUAUAACCGUAUGUAACAUUCACAGAAAAAAUAAUUGCCCAAAGGACAUAGCAGUCAGUGGAAUGCUAAGGAAUUCAAAUUUUCUUUAUACCUUUAUUUUUGGAUUUAUAAUUUUUUAGGCUAUUAACAUUUUUCUUCGUGUAUCUUUUAAAGGGGAGAAAAUGUGCCGAUCGCAUAGGCAAUUUUGGGAGUUACCCUUAGUAACCUGAGUGUUGAAAUUUUUUUUUCCCAAGGAUUGAAGUUUAAUCACUUAGAUUAUGCCAUUGUCCUAAAGGGGCCUAAGAAUAAGAAGAUGUAUUUCUUCUGGUUAAACUGGUGAUGGUGUCAAGUAGCUUGAACCAUUUGGCAGGGCUAGACUCUGACACACUUUU
rnacentral:lncRNA from 1 species